rnacentral:rRNA from 1 species
UGACCCGUCUUGAAACACGGACCAAGGAGUCUAGCAUGUGCGCAAGUCAUUGGGAAUAAAAUAUUUUUUCAUCGAAAUAUUAAUAAAUUUUAUGAAACCCAAAGGCGAAAUGAAAGUAAAAUAAUAUUUAAUUUUUUUUCUUUUUUGAUUGAAAAUAAAAAUAUUUGAGGGAGGAUAUAUUUUUAUUAUGUAUUAAAUAUCGCACUCCCAGGGCAUCUUAAAUUAUUAUUUGAUAUCUUUUAUAUUUAAUUAUAAAAUUUUAUUAUUUAAUAAUAAGGUGCACCUAGAGCGUACACGCUGGGACCCGAAAGAUGGUGAACUAUGCCUGGUCAGGACGAAGUCAGGGGAAACCCUGAUGGAGGUCCGUAGCGAUUCUGACGUGCAAAUCGAUCGUCGGAACUGGU